rnacentral:misc_RNA from 1 species
UUUCCGUAGGUGAACCUGCGGAAGGAUCAUUAUCGAGUUUUGACUGGCUCGUUGUUGGCCUUCCGAGGCAUGUGCACGCCCUGCUCAUCCUCUCUACACCUGUGUAUUUACUGUGGGUAUCAGAUCGAGAAGCGUGCUCUUUUACCGGAUCUUGUGAUGCGUGUCUGUGCCUGCGUCUAUCACAAACACUAUAAAGUAUCAGAAUGUGUAUUACGAUGUAUCGAAUCUAUAUACAACUUUCAGCAACGGAUCUCUUGGCUCUC